AGUGGAGUAAACAUUAGCAUGUACUCAGGGAUAAGAUAAAAUAAUGCAAGUUAUUCAAAACCAAAGUAAAUAACCAUGAGAAAUCACAUAGAAACACACACACAUAUAUUUAUAGUGCGGGGAAAGGAAACUGAGUUUUGCAUCCAUUUAAUACCUUAACCUGAGCUGAGUAGCUUGACCAUCCUAAAACACCCAUUGGAUAUAUGGGUUAACCUCCCCAUGCUGAAAGGGCCCCAAUGUGUGUUUGCUGCAUGACUAAAGAAAAAUAACCUUAGAUGACUAGUAAAUCUCCCAAAAUAUAAAGUGUGUAAUCAUGAACACGGUCAUCAAGACCACC
rnacentral:lncRNA from 1 species